AGUGAACGCUGGCGGUAGGCCUAACACAUGCAAGUCGAACGGCAGCACAGUAAGAGCUUGCUCUUACGGGUGGCGAGUGGCGGACGGGUGAGGAAUACAUCGGAAUCUACUUUUUCUUGGGUGAUAACGUAGGGAAACUUACGCUAAUACCGCAUACGACCUACGGGUGAAAGCAGGGGAUCUUCGGACCUUGCGCGAUUGAAUGAGCCGAUGUCGGAUUAGCUAGUUGGCGGGGUAAAGGCCCACCAAGGCGACGAUCCGUAGCUGGUCUGAGAGGAUGAUCAGCCACACUGGAACUGAGACACGGUCCAGACUCCUACGGGAGGCAGCAGUGGGGAAUAUUGGACAAUGGGCGCAAGCCUGAUCCAGCCAUGCCGCGUGGGUGAAGAAGGCCUUCGGGUUGUAAAGCCCUUUUGUUGGGAAAGAAAAGCAGCAGGUUAAUACCCCGCUGUUCUGACGGUACCCAAAGAAUAAGCACCGGCUAACUUCGUG
rnacentral:rRNA from 1 species